rnacentral:rRNA from 1 species
GUGGGGAAUAUUGGGCAAUGGGCGAAAGCCUGACCCAGCAACGCCGCGUGAAGGAAGAAGGCCCUCGGGUUGUAAACUUCUUUUAAGAGGGACGAAAGAAAUGACGGUACCUCUUGAAUAAGCCACGGCUAACUACGUGCCAGCAGCCGCGGUAAUACGUAGGUGGCGAGCGUUAUCCGGAUUUACUGGGUGUAAAGGGCGUGUAGGCGGGAGUGCAAGUCAGAUGUGAAAAUUAUGGGCUCAACCCAUAACCUGCAUUUGAAACUGUUCUUCUUGAGUGAUGGGGAGGCAGGCGGAAUUCCGUGUGUAGCGGUGAAAUGCGUAGAUAUACGGAGGAACACCAGUGGCGAAGGCGGCCUGCUGGACAUUAACUGACGCUGAGGCGCGAAAGCGUGGGGAGCAAACAGGAUUAGAUACCCUUGUAGUCC